GAGAUUCCUACGGGAGGCAGCAGUGGGGAAUUUUCCGCAAUGGGCGAAAGCCUGACGGAGCAACGCCGCGUGAGGGAUGAAGGCCUCUGGGCUGUAAACCUCUUUUAUCAAGGAAGAAGAUCUGACGGUACUUGAUGAAUAAGCCACGGCUAAUUCCGUGCCAGCAGCCGCGGUAAUACGGGAGUGGCAAGCGUUAUCCGGAAUUAUUGGGCGUAAAGCGUCCGCAGGCGGCCCUUCAAGUCUGCUGUUAAAACGUGGAGCUUAACUCCAUCAUGGCAGUGGAAACUGUUGGGCUUGAGUGUGGUAGGGGCAGAGGGAAUUCCCGGUGUAGCGGUGAAAUGCGUAGAUAUCGGGAAGAACACCAGUGGCGAAGGCGCUCUGCUGGGCCAUAACUGACGCUCAUGGACGAAAGCCAGGGGAGCGAAAGGGAUUAGAUACCCCUGUAGUCCUGGCCGUAAACGAUGAACACUAGGUGUCGGGGGAAUCGACCCCCUCGGUGUCGUAGCUAACGCGUUAAGUGUUCCGCCUGGGGAGUACGCACGCAAGUGUGAAACUCAAAGGAAUUGACGGAAUCGUCG
rnacentral:rRNA from 1 species